rnacentral:rRNA from 1 species
GCCCAAGCAUUGAGGCAGUCAAAGUAGGCAAAUCCGCUUUGAUAAUGCUGGGAUGUGAUGGGGAGCGAAAUUUAGUAGCGAAGUAGCUGAUUUCACACUGUCAAGAAAAGUCUCUAUCGAGGUUAAAGGUACCCGUACCGCAAACCGACACAGGUGGGUGAGGAGAGUAUCCUAAGGCCAGCGAGAGAACUGUUGUUAAGGAACUCGGCAAAAUGACCCCGUAACUUAGGGAUAAGGGGUGCCACCAUCAGGUGGCCGCAGAGAAUAGGCCCAAGCGACUGUUUACCAAAAACAUAGGUUUCUGCUAAGUCGCAAGACGAUGUAUAGGAGCUGACGCCUGCCCGGUGCUGGAAGGUUAAGGGGAUCUGUUAGAGCAAUCGAAGCAGUGAACUUAAGCCCCAGUAAACGGCGGCCGUAACUAUAACGGUCCUAAGGUAGCGAAAUUCCUUGUCGGGUAAGUUCCGACCCGCACGAAAGGCGUAACGAUUUGGGCACUGUCUCAACAACAGACUCGGUGAAAUUGUAAUUCCGGUGAAGAUGCCGGAUACCUGCGACAGGACGGAAAGACCCCAUGGAGCUUUACUGUAGCUUGACAUUGGGUCUUGGUACUACAUGUACAGGAUAGGUGGGAGGCUUUGAAACCAGGACGCCAGUUUUGGCGGAGCCAUCCUUGGGAUACCACCCUUGUAGUACUGGGACUCUAACCAUAGGCCAUGAAUCUGGUCUUGGGACACUGUCAGGUGGGCAGUUUGACUGGGGCGGUCGCCUCCCAAAAGGUAACGGAGGCGCUCAAAGGUUCUCUCAGUACGGUCGGAAAUCGUACGUAGAGUGUAAAGGCAAAAGAGAGCUUGAUUGCAAGACAUACAGGUCGAGCAAGGAUGAAAAUCGGACUUAGUGAUCCGGUGGUUCUGCGUGGAAGGGCCAUCGCUCAACGGAUAAAAGCUACCCUGGGGAUAACAGGCUUAUCUCCCCCAAGAGUCCACAUCGACGGGGAGGUUUGGCACCUCGAUGUCGGCUCAUCACAUCCUGGGGCUGUAGUAGGUCCCAAGGGUUGGGCUGUUCGCCCAUUAAAGUGGUACGCGAGCUGGGUUCAGAACGUCGUGAGACAGUUCGGUCCCUAUCCGUCGCAGGCGUAGGAAAUUUGAGAAGACCUGUCCUUAG